rnacentral:tRNA from 1 species
GACGAGAUGGCCGAGCGGUCUAAGGCGCCAGAUUAAGGCUCUGGUCCGAAAGGGCGUGGGUUCAAAUCCCACUCUCGUCA